GCUUGUCUCAAAGAUUAAGCCAAGUUUAAGUCCGGCAGAUAAAGUCUUGCUCGGUAAAUUAUUAGGUUUAUAUGAGGCGUUGACGGCGGUAUAUCCGGAUCGUCCACGUGGUUUCAUUCAUUCCGAUCUGUUCCGGGAUAAUACCUUGUUUGAAGGCGAUCAGCUGAAUGGCAUUCUGGAUUUUUAUGAGCUGAAUAAAGAUGAGUGGUUGUUUGAUAUCGCCAUUACGUUAAAUGACUUCUGUACCGAAUAUCCUGACGUAAUCUUAAACGAAGAAAAAGCGAUUGCCUUUUUAAAUGCCUAUGAAACGAUUCGUUCUUUAACCAGUGAUGAACGCGCUUGUCUGGAAUUGUAUCUGGCUAUGGCAGCAGG
rnacentral:rRNA from 1 species